rnacentral:rRNA from 1 species
GGGGAAUCUUGCGCAAUGGGCGAAAGCCUGACGCAGCGACGCCGCGUGGGUGAUGAAGGCCUUCGGGUUGUAAAGCCCUGUGGAGGGGGACGAAUAAGUGUCGGCCAAUACCCGGCACGAUGACGGUACCCCUUUAGCAAGCACCGGCUAACUCUGUGCCAGCAGCCGCGGUAAGACAGAGGGUGCGAACGUUGUUCGGAAUUACUGGGCGUAAAGGGCGUGUAGGCUGCCUCAAAAGUCGGAUGUGAAAUCCCUGGGCUCAACCCAGGAAGUGCAUUCGAAACUCUGAGGCUUGAGUUCCGGAGGGGAAGGCGGAAUUCUCGGUGUAGAGGUGAAAUUCGUAGAUAUCGAGAGGAACACCGGUGGCGAAGGCGGCCUUCUGGACGGAUACUGACGCUGAGACGCGAAAGCGUGGGGAGCAAAC